GCAUUACUUCUAGGAAUAGGUUGAUCCAUUCCUACGCUAAAUGGGAAAAAAAAGUGUUCACAGUAGUGAAAUAAAGGUAAACAUUUUAAAUGCUAUUUAUGUAUCUAUAUAUAAACCUAUGUUUACCAAAGUGUAGAGGAAAAUGGCUGAGUCGGACAAGGUCAUUAGGUGAGUAGAUGGAGGCACCUAAAUGAGAUUUAUUUUAAAAUAAAAUCUAAAUUACUUACCUGUGCAAUGAAGUUUAUACUUUGCACUUUAAUUUUGCCCUGAAUGCCAAAAUAUUACACAUCAAGGUAGGAUUGCUUGCCUCUGCCAGUUAAAUUUGUCUUAAGAGCAUUUGUAAAUAAAAAUAAAAAAAAACAAAACAAAUGAUGUGCCUGGUUUGGUGGGAGAAGUAUCGCUGCGAUGUGAGAGGUGUAACAGCUCACAUGCAGAGCAGAUUUUAUAGCCAAGUUUGAGUUACCCUGCAAGUCAGGGUUGUAACAGAAGUGCUGAUACAGCCUUAAUUAUCACAACACAUCACAAGCUAUAAUAGCAUAUAAAAAGUGCUGGGGACCAUUAAUUGCUAUAGUAGUGUUAAUUGUGGCACAGGAGUAACGCGUGGUCUUUCUCCAGAGAAAAAUCCUGUGUUUAUAACAAUGGCAGAUAUCCCAGACUCACUUUUAACAGUGUUUAUAGUAUGAAUGUAUAGGAUUUUUCCAGACGUUAACUGGCUUUAAAAUACUUGUGUUUUAAUGAUCCAUUUCAUCAGGUAUGAUCUCACCACCAAUACUGUCUGAUAAUUAAAAUUUUACUGUACAUGAGCUGUUAACUAGAAAAAAUAUAACUUGGUUUUCCUUAUUAGUACUGUGAAAGAAGCCUUUAGAGAAAACACUUGUGGCUUUGGUUUUGUUGGUUGAUAGCUGUGAUCGUAGAGUUGUUAUUUAAGAAUAAAAUCUGUUGGGUUAUGUCUGGGUGGAGUUUUUUUUGCACUUGGUUUCACAUGCUUUGCACAAUUUGUUUUUCAGUGGGUGUGUCACAACUACCAAAGGGUACAACUGUGGCGUUUUCAAUGAAAGUAUGAUUUCCUUGAUAGUACAGAGAAGAGAGAGUGCUUGGGAGGAAUGCGGAGGGUUUCUUGAAUCUAUGCUCCCUUCCUAUAAAGGAACAGGCUUAAAUAAUUCACAAGCAUUUUGAAGGAUGAAAGUGUGAGUGACCACACCUUAUUUUCAAGGAGGAGAAUUUCAAAGAGGAGCAAAGGGCCCAUGUUCUGAGUGAGGCACCCUUCUACCAUCAUUCUUCAUUCCACUAAACCUUUUGGAAAAAGGAGCGUAAAAUAACCAUUGCCUGAAUUAUCAACAUUUACCUUCUUCCUAUGGACUGCUUGGACUGAAUAGAAGAUAGUUCUUUAUGGCAUUAUUCAUCCCAGAAUUGAUGUGUGGGGCUUCUUUGAUUUACAAAUAGAAGAAAAUUCACUUCACAUUUAAGUGAAAAAAAUCCAUUAUUUUAUUCAGUACAAAUUGAAAUUGAAAAAGGUCUGGCUUGCAUGAUCUGAGAAUGCAGCAAUUUACAAGCAAGUUGUCUUCUCUCUUUAAAUAGAAUGGAAGCAGCAAGUCUGCAUGACAACUGGAACAUUAAU
ensembl:lncRNA